rnacentral:rRNA from 1 species
AACGAACGCUGGCGGCAUGCCUAAUACAUGCAAGUCGAACGAAAACUUCGGGUCUAUUGGCGCACGGGUGCGUAACGCGUGGGAAGCUUCCCUUGUGUUCGGCAUAACUACUGGAAUGGGAUGCUAAUACCGGAUGAUGGCUUAUGCCCAAAGAUAUAUCGCCCAAGGAUGUGCCCGCGUGGGAUUAGCUAGUUGGUAGGGUAACAGCCCACCAAGGCGACGAUCCUUAGCUGGUCUGUGAGGAUGAUCAGCCACUCUGAGACUAAGACACGGCCGAGACUCCUACGGGAGGGAGGAGUGGGGGAUAGAGGACAGUGGGGGAAAUGAUGAUGGAGCUAUGACGGGUGAGUGCUGUAAGCAUUAGGGUUGUAAAGCUCUUUUAACCGGGAUGAUAAUGACGGUACCGGGAGAAUAAGCCCCGGCUAACUACGUG